CACGGGGUUGCUAGCGUUGUCCGGAAUUACUAGGCGUAAAGGGCAGGCAGGCGGAUCCAUAAGUUCAUCGUUUAAGGCGUCGGCUUAACCGGCGUAGGGCGGUAGAUACUGUGGAUCUGGAAUGCGGUUGGGGAAGACAGAAUUCCUGGUGUAGCGGUGGAAUGCGCAGAGAUCAGGAGGAAUACCGAAGGCGAAGGCAGUCUUCCAAGCCGUUAUUGACGCUCAACUGCGAAGGUGUGGGUAUCAAACAGGAUUAGAUACCCUGGUAGUCCCU
rnacentral:rRNA from 1 species